GACGAACGCUGGCGGCGCGCUUAACACAUGCAAGUCGAACGGAAAGGCCUGCUUUCCCUUGUGGAUUGCGGGUCCUCGAGUGGCUAACGGGUGAGUAACACGUGAGUGAUCUGCCCCCAACUUGGGUAUAAGCCUGGGAGACUGUGUCUAAUUCCCUAUAGGACUGCAGGGUUGUGCCUUUGGUGGAAAACGAUUUUCUAGUGGUUGGUGAUUAGCUCGCGGCCUAUCAGCUUGUUGGUGGGGUAAUGGCCUACAAAGGCGGGGACGGGUAGCCGGCCUGGGAGGGGGGACAGCCAAAUUGGGACAGGGAUCAGGCCCAGACGGGUAGGGGAGGUAGGAGAGGGGAAGAAGGGACAAUGGGCGGAAGGCAGAUGCAGCGAGGGAGUGUGGGGGAUGACGGGAUUGGGGUUGUAAACUACUAGCGACCGAGAGGAAGCUACGUGGUUGGAAGGGUGGUGACGGUAGUGGUAGAAGAAGCACCGGCUAACUACGUG
rnacentral:rRNA from 1 species